GGGUUGUGAGGUUAAGCGACUAAGCGUACACGGUGGAUGCCCUGGCAGUCAGAGGCGAUGAAGGACGUGCUAAUCUGCGAAAAGCGUCGGUAAGGUGAUAUGAACCGUUACAGCCGGCGAUGUCCGAAUGGGGAAACCCAGUGCAAUUCGUUGCACUAUCGUUAACUGAAUACAUAGGUUAACGAGGCGAACCGGGGGAACUGAAACAUCUAAGUACCCCGAGGAAAAAAAAUCAACCGAGAUUCCCCCAGUAGCGGCGAGCGAACGGGGAGCAGCCCAGAGUCUGAAUCAGCUUGUGUGUUAGUGGAACGGUCUGGAAAGUCCGACGGUACAGGGUGAUAGUCCCGUACACCAAAAUGCACAGGCUGUGAACUCGAAGAGUAGGGCGGGACACGUGGUAUCCUGUCUGAAUAUGGGGGGACCAUCCUCCAAGGCUAAAUACUCCUGACUGACCGAUAGUGAACCAGUACCGUGAGGGAAAGGCGAAAAGAACCCCGGCGAGGGGAGUGAAAAAGAACCUGAAACCGUGUACGUACAAGCAGUGGGAGCACCUUCGGGUGUGACUGCGUACCUUUUGUAUAAUGGGUCAGCGACUUAUAUUCUGUAGCAAGGUUAACCGUAUAGGGGAGCCGCAGGGAAACCGAGUCUUAACUGGGCGUUAAGUUGCAGGGUAUAGACCCGAAACCCGGUGAUCUAGCCAUGGGCAGGUUGAAGGUUGGGUAACACUAACUGGAGGACCGAACCGACUAAUGUUGAAAAAUUAGCGGAUGACUUGUGGCUGGGGGUGAAAGGCCAAUCAAACCGGGAGAUAGCUGGUUCUCCCCGAAAGCUAUUUAGGUAGCGCCUCGUGAAUUCAUCUUCGGGGGUAGAGCACUGUUUCGGCUAGGGGGUCAUCCCGACUUACCAACCCGAUGCAAACUACGAAUACCGAAGAAUGUUAUCACGGGAGACACACGGCGGGUGCUAACGUCCGUCGUGAAGAGGGAAACAACCCAGACCGCCAGCUAAGGUCCCAAAGUCAUGGUUAAGUGGGAAACGAUGUGGGAAGGCACAGACAGCCAGGAUGUUGGCUUAGAAGCAGCCAUCAUUUAAAGAAAGCGUAAUAGCUCACUGGUCGAGUCGGCCUGCGCGGAAGAUGUAACGGGGCUAAACCAUGCACCGAAGCUGCGGCAGCGACACUAUGUGUUGUUGGGUAGGGGAGCGUUCUGUAAGCCUGCGAAGGUGACCUGUGAGGGUUGCUGGAGGUAUCAGAAGUGCGAAUGCUGACAUAAGUAACGAUAAAGCGGGUGAAAAGCCCGCUCGCCGGAAGACCAAGGGUUCCUGUCCAACGUUAAUCGGGGCAGGGUGAGUCGACCCCUAAGGCGAGGCCGAAAGGCGUAGUCGAUGGGAAACAGGUUAAUAUUCCUGUACUUGGUGUUACUGCGAAGGGGGGACGGAGAAGGCUAUGUUAGCCGGGCGACGGUUGUCCCGGUUUAAGCAUGUAGGCUGGUUAUCCAGGCAAAUCCGGAUAAUCAAGGCUGAGGUGUGAUGACGAGGCACUACGGUGCUGAAGUAACAAAUGCCCUGCUUCCAGGAAAAGCCUCUAAGCAUCAGGUAACAUCAAAUCGUACCCCAAACCGACACAGGUGGUCAGGUAGAGAAUACCAAGGCGCUUGAGAGAACUCGGGUGAAGGAACUAGGCAAAAUGGUGCCGUAACUUCGGGAGAAGGCACGCUGGUGUGUAGGUGAAGUCCCUGCGGAUGGAGCUGAGACCAGUCGAAGAUACCAGCUGGCUGCAACUGUUUAUUAAAAACACAGCACUGUGCAAACACGAAAGUGGACGUAUACGGUGUGACGCCUGCCCGGUGCCGGAAGGUUAAUUGAUGGGGUUAUCCGUAAGGAGAAGCUCUUGAUCGAAGCCCCGGUAAACGGCGGCCGUAACUAUAACGGUCCUAAGGUAGCGAAAUUCCUUGUCGGGUAAGUUCCGACCUGCACGAAUGGCGUAAUGAUGGCCAGGCUGUCUCCACCCGAGACUCAGUGAAAUUGAACUCGCUGUGAAGAUGCAGUGUACCCGCGGCAAGACGGAAAGACCCCGUGAACCUUUACUAUAGCUUGACACUGAACAUUGAGCCUUGAUGUGUAGGAUAGGUGGGAGGCUUUGAAGCGUGGACGCCAGUCUGCGUGGAGCCAACCUUGAAAUACCACCCUUUAAUGUUUGAUGUUCUAACGUUGGCCCCUUACCGGGGUUGCGGACAGUGUCUGGUGGGUAGUUUGACUGGGGCGGUCUCCUCCCAAAGCGUAACGGAGGAGCACGAAGGUUAGCUAAUCCUGGUCGGACAUCAGGAGGUUAGUGCAAUGGCAUAAGCUAGCUUGACUGCGAGCGUGACGGCGCGAGCAGGUGCGAAAGCAGGUCAUAGUGAUCCGGUGGUUCUGAAUGGAAGGGCCAUCGCUCAACGGAUAAAAGGUACUCCGGGGAUAACAGGCUGAUACCGCCCAAGAGUUCAUAUCGACGGCGGUGUUUGGCACCUCGAUGUCGGCUCAUCACAUCCUGGGGCUGAAGUAGGUCCCAAGGGUAUGGCUGUUCGCCAUUUAAAGUGGUACGCGAGCUGGGUUUAGAACGUCGUGAGACAGUUCGGUCCCUAUCUGCCGUGGGCGCUGGAGAAUUGAGGGGGGCUGCUCCUAGUACGAGAGGACCGGAGUGGACGCAUCACUGGUGUUCGGGUUGUCAUGCCAAUGGCACUGCCCGGUAGCUAAAUGCGGAAGAGAUAAGUGCUGAAAGCAUCUAAGCACGAAACUUGCCCCGAGAUGAGUUCUCCCUGAGACUUUAAGUCUCCUGAAGGAACGUUAAAGACGAUGACGUUGAUAGGCCGGGUGUGUAAGCGCAGCGAUGCGUUGAGCUAACCGGUACUAAUGAACCGUGAGGCUUAACCUUACAACGCCGAAG
rnacentral:rRNA from 1 species